rfam:Drosophila simulans chromosome 3L, whole genome shotgun sequence.
GUAGACAUUUCACAUCAUUCGCCGGGAUUGCGCAAAUGUUGCUUUGAAGUGUUGCAAACAUGCGAAUCCUAAAUCGGUUCACGGCUUUCGUGGGCUUAGUUUCCUGGCUUAUACCCUGAAACACGCUGGC